rnacentral:lncRNA from 1 species
CGUCUGUACACAAAAUUAAAAUAACCUAAUUAACCGUGGGAGAAUUUAUAAAAAAAAAAUUAAUUUUAAUUCAAAUUAACCCUUUCUUCUUCAUCAUCUUCAUGGUUUGAGACAAACCCAUUCAUACCGACCAUUUAAUGGAACAUCCUUCGCAAUGUCGUAAUUAUAACUGUAGUAGGGUGUUGCACAAUGGAAGGCCGAUAUAUUUAAAUAUGACUCUGCUCUUGGUCAGUGUUCCACAUGUAAGUUCAAAGGUUAAUCAGUCGUAGCAGGAUAUAUCAGUAGCCAAGUCGAUCAUUAAGGGAGGUACGACCAUCACCAGAUUGGUCUGCAUGAAUAAAGUUGCAUCAGUCAAAGAAUGAAUUGUAGAUACUAAAAAUCAAGCACAAUACAAAAAGUCAAGUAUGCAGAACUGUAGAGUACCCUUCGGAGGUAUCCGGGCUUCAUAAUCAGGAUUACUCUUUAGAAAAACAGGCCUUUCAGGACCAAUGACUCUUUUGGCUUCUUAUUAUCGUUUUGUGAUUGAGUUCUCAUCCCCAAGGCUUUCAUGCUG